CGUAUGGUAGUGCAUGCGAGUUCUCAUUGGAAUUAACUCAACCAAUGUAGGUUAUGAAGCAUCACAGAGAGUUCUAGUAAGGUAGACAAACAGGUCAAUAAUUGACAAUUGUGUGUAGGUAGGGCAGACUACCUGGAGCAGAUAUCAACCGCUGGCGCGUCUUUAGCACAGGUGUAUGGAGGGUGGCAUUUUCUCUCUGCGAAGAUUAUUGAAGCCAUUUCCUGUUUGGGGAGAAGGUGCUCGCGCCGUCCCUCUCGCCGGCCAUGUCGGCUUUGACAGCAUGCCCGACCAGCUGGUCAACAAGUCUGUCAACCACGGCUUUUGCUUCAACAUCCUCUGCGUUGGGGAGACGGGCCUGGGCAAGUCCACUCUCAUGGACACCCUGUUCAACACCAAGUUCGAGGGCGAACCCACCCAGCACAACCAGCCGGGCGUGCAGCUCAAGUCCAACACCUACGAGCUCCAGGAGAGCAAUGUGCGCCUCAAGCUGACCGUGGUCAACACUGUGGGCUUCGGUGACCAGAUCAACAAAGAGGACAGCUACAAGUCUAUUGUGGAGUUUAUCGACACCCAGUUUGAGGCCUAUCUGCAGGAGGAGCUGAAAAUCAAGCGCACGUUACACAGCUACCACGACACACGCAUCCACGCCUGCCUGUACUUCAUCGCGCCCACCGGACACUCCCUCAAGUCCCUGGACCUGGUCACUAUGAAGAAACUGGACAGCAAGGUCAACAUCAUCCCCAUCAUCGCCAAAUCAGACGCCAUCUCCAAAAGCGAGCUGACCAAGUUCAAGAUCAAGAUCACCAGUGAGCUGGUCAGCAACGGUGUUCUGAUCUACCAGUUCCCCAUCGACGACGAGACGGUGGCAGAGAUCAACUCCACCAUGAACGCCCAUUUGCCGUUCGCCGUGGUGGGAAGCACGGAGGAAGUGAAGAUCGGCAACAAGAUGGUGAAAGCGCGGCAGUACCCCUGGGGGACGGUACAGGUGGAGAAUGAGAACCACUGUGACUUUGUGAAGCUGAGAGAGAUGCUAAUCAGGGUGAACAUGGAGGAUCUUAGAGAGCAGACUCACACCAGACACUACGAGCUCUACCGUCGCUGCAAGCUGGAGGAGAUGGGCUUCAAGGACACAGACCCUGACUGCAAACCUUUCAGUCUGCAGGAGACGUACGAGGCCAAGAGGAAUGAGUUCAUGGGAGACCUGCAGAAGAAAGAGGAAGAGAUGAGGCAAAUGUUCGUCCAGCGAGUCAAGGAAAAGGAGGCUGAGCUGAAGGAGGCCGAGAAAGAGCUGCACGAGAAGUUUGACCGGCUCAAGAAGCUGCACCAGGAUGAGAAGAAGAAGCUGGAGGACAAGAAGAAAUCCCUGGAUGACGAGCUCAAUGGCUUCAAGCAGAAAAAGACGGCCGCUGAGCUCCUGCAGUCCCAGGCUCUGCAGGCAGGGGGCUCCACCACACUCAAGAGGGACAAGGAGAGGAAAAACUGAUGUGAGCCCUGUCACCGGACCCGUUAGAAAGAAUGAAGACACUUGCACUGAGAAAGUUAACUCCUCCACUUGCUGCAUGCUGCAUGAGGCAUCUUGUCCUGCUUCUUUUAAUCUGUCUUGCCCACCUGUCUGAAGAGGGGAUUGCAGCUUCAGCGAGAACGAAGCACCCGUUUCCUCUUCCUGUCUUUUCUCUCUGCAUCAACCUUUUUUAACUUCUAUCUCAUCUGCUUUGUUGACCAUGGCCUAAUGUGGGCUUCACAUGGUAUUUUUUGGAUAGUUAAGUUUUGUCACCUAAUCAAGGUACACUUUGGCUAGUGGGAGACCUUCACUCUUAAUAUUUUGCAGCUCCGUCUUGGUGUAUGAAUGAACGAAGCUUUGCUCAGGUAGGAUUCUAAACGGUUGUUCAAGAGAAACACAUCUAAUCAAUAGUUUCAUCAUACCAAUUGUAACAGAGCCAAGGCUCUGGAUUCAUUUAUAUUUUGCACAAAACUAUCUGAAUUUCAUUGACAGUUAAUUUUAAGGAAGUCUUUAUGUAAUAACAUUCAAUCAUAUUUUACGUCCAUUUUGAGAAGGGCUCAUUCUGUUUGAAAUAACCAGUACUAUUACAAAUAGCCUAUAUGAUUAAUGUGCUGCUCAUUCAAAGGGGGAGUUAGUUCUGAAUACAAAUGGCAGAACCCAGAUCUCAAUAAAACACUGAUAAAACCAAUACACAUUAAUUUGGUGAUUGAUAGAGAAAAGUGUGACAUCUAACCUUACAUGUGUGACUAGUAGAUACUUUUGUCAGUUAAAAACCAAAAGACAAUUGCCAUCCAAAACAGUGUUCUUUAUGUUCACUGAAUAGGUUGUCUCAUUUCAACUUAGAAGCGCCAAAGCCGUAUUCAUGUCAAGCACUUAUUUAGUGAAAACGCCUUUUCCGUACUGAAAUACCAUGUAGGUCACAUUUAAUGCCCUUUACACAUUGUGCUUUAACUACCAUCACCCUAUUCUGUAUUUUGCAUGUCUAAUGCUCUUUUAUUUCAUCACUUCUGUGAUCUUGACCUUUUGCUCCCGUAGCUGUUUUCUCCCCUAACAGUUUCGUUUUGCACUAUUUCACAUUUGGUGCUCUAUAUUGUUUGGAUCAGAUUUAUCUUGUGUAUUACUCCUUGUUAUACCCUUCUCCACAAUUUUCAGCAUCCAUAUUGCCAAAUAUUACAAUGAGAUGGAGUUGAAUCCUAGGUACAGAUGGAUACAUUUGUAUAAUUUAUAAGGAUAUAUUUUGUGUAUUGAAGUGGAGACCUGUUUAUGAGAUAUGAUCUUUGGAUGUGACUCUUCUCUCUGUAGUUACAUUUUGGUGUAAGAAAUUGCCAUACAUUUUUCUAGCAUCUGCCAUAAUCACCCCUCCUAGUGAAUUAGCUGUCCACCCUUCAAAUUAAUUAUGAAAUAUUUUAUUGUAGUUUGAUUCCAUUGAUGUACUUUUUCAAUAAAAUGAUGAAAAUAAA